rnacentral:rRNA from 1 species
AGAUACCGUCGUAAUCUUAACCAUAAACUAUGCCGACUAGGUUUUGGAUGAAACAUUUUUAAAUAAGAAAAUUCCUUUCGGGGAAAUUUC